rnacentral:rRNA from 1 species
AUGAACGCUAGCUACAGGCUUAACACAUGCAAGUCGAGGGGCAGCAUAUAGAUAGCUUGCUAUUUAUGAUGGCGACCGGCGCACGGGUGAGUAACGCGUAUCCAACCUUCCCUAUACUAGAGAAUAGCCGGCGAAAGUCGGAUUAAUGCUCUAUGUUCUCUUUGAUGGCAUCUGACGAGAAGCAAAGGUUUACCGGUAUAGGAUGGGGAUGCGUCUGAUUAGGUUGUUGGCGGGGUAACGGCCCACCAAGCCUACGAUCAGUAGGGGUUCUGAGAGGAAGGUCCCCCCACAUUGGUACUGAGACACGGACCAAACUCCUACGGGAGGCAGCAGUGAGGAAUAUUGGUCAAUGGGCGAGAGCCUGAACCAGCCAAGUAGCGUGCAGGAUGACUGCCCUAUGGGUUGUAAACUUGCUUUUAGUAGGGGAAUAAAGUGAGGUAUGUAUACCUUUUUGUAUGUACCCUAUGAAUAAGGACCGGCUAAUUCCGUGCCAGCCGCCGC